AGUGGGAUUCGUAAGUUUGCCUCCUCCCAGAAGUUAACGGUCACGUCUCCCGCGCGUGCAACGUUCAGCUUCUUCUUCUUCCGGCGGUUACUGCGCUGCCCGUUGUGCAGUGUGGGGCAGAAAUGGCUCGAGUUUGGAAGAAACAGCAAAGCUCUCUGUAAAGGUUAACGACUAACGUAUUGGAGUGUCAAAAUGACCAGAUGAAAACCUGGAAAACGAUGGAGAAGGACUGGUAAUGAAGAAGACCCAAAUAAACGACCAAGACGGGCUGCACAAUUGUCAUCCCUCCCUGCAGCCACCAGUGUUCAUGUGGAGACUGAUCAGCAAUAUUUAGGAGGUAGCAGCAGCGGAACACAGUAGGGGGGGUGCCUCCUGGAGGAACCCAAAACGCUGCACUUCAAGGGCAACACGCCCAACCUCCAGGUGUCCAUGCAGGAUGUGACGCACUCACUCUCGGACAUCAAGCCUCUCACCACCUGCCAGCACAACGUAGCGUGGCACAAGAGAGUAUUUCUAUCGAAGACAAUGAAGAACCAUCUUCCAGAUCAGCCUUCAGAGAUCCUCCUGAUGACCUAACAACUGAACUACAUGGCAAUGCUGAGUAUGAUCCAUCUCAAUUAUUUGAGGAAGCUCUCCCUGAUGUGGGGGAUUUGACAUGUAUGAUGAUGGACAUUUGUUCAAUGAGGGAUUUGAAGAGGGUUUGAGUGAGGACUGUGCAGAAGAGUCAAAUUUCAAGGACACAACACACAAACCAUUAUAUGACAAUGCAUCAGUAACUGUUGCAGAGAGCCUUCUGGUCAUCAUGGCUUACGUAAACUGUCAUAAAGUAACUGAUAAGGCCCUUAGUGAUUUGCUUAAAAUGUUCAAGUUGCUUUGUCCUGAUAGUCUGAAUACAGACUGCUUAAACAGUGUACAGAAGUUAAAAGACUUUUUUUUUCUCACAUGCUGCAUCAUCUCCUAUUAUAUUGCAUAAAUAUUACAAUACUUGUUUUGGUUCAUUAGAAGGUGAACAAUUACAAUGUCUAUCUUGUGGGACCAGUGUGUCAGAAGAAAGAUCCUCAUCCUUCAUAGAGGUUCCAAUUGAGGCCCAAAUAAGGUCAUUGUUUCUCAAGCCAGGUUUUCAGGAGAAACUUAACUUUAGAUUAAGCAGGAAGAAGACAGAUCCUAACAACAUUGAAGAUAUAUAUGAUGCAGAAAUUUACAAACAGCUUGUAGAUGGGGGUGGUCCUCUUAGUGACCCUAAAAACAUCUCACUUACUUGGAAUACAGAUGGGGUAGCUAUUUUCAAAUUGUCCAAGUUUUCAGUGUGGCCUUUUUAUUGUAUCAUCAAUGAACUGAGUUUCAUGGAACGCACAAAAAGAGAGAAUAUGAUAUUUGCUGGACUUUGGUAUGGGGACUCAAAACCAUCCAUGGUUACAUUCCUUAGACCACUAGGUGACACACUGAGUAAACUUGCAGAUGAUGGAAUUCUUGUGCAACCUGCAGAGUUGACAUCUGAACGUUUUGUGUGUAAAGUGCUCACCAUUGCUGGAACAUGCAACUUACCUGCUAAAGCAUUAGUCCUUAAUUCAGUGCAAUACAAUGGGAAAUUUGGAUGUCAUAAAUGUAAGCAGCCAGGAGAGACUGUAAAGACAGGGGAAAGGGGACAUGUUCAUGCAUUUCCAUACCAACAUAGAGAUCCAAAAGGCCCACUGCGCACAAAUGAAAAGUUUGCUCUUGAUAUGAAAAUCUUAAAUGAGACCAAAACCACCGUUAAAGGGGUGAAGGGUCCCUGUUGGCUUAGCAAACUUAAAAGUUAUAACCUUAUCAAAGGCACUGCCAUAGAUUACAUGCACUCAGUCCUUCUUGGAAUAAUGCGCCUUUUGAUGGUUCUGUGGUUUUCUCCAGAGUUUUCUCGUCAGCCCUUCAGCAUGGCAAAAAAUGCAAAGGAAAUUGACAGGCGAUUUCAGGAUAUCUCUCCUCCAUCCUCCACUCGAUAUCCUCGAUCAGUGGCAUCUCACAGAAUGUUUUUUAAAGCAUCAGAAUAUUGGGAUAUUUUGAUCUUCUAUGGACCUGUUGUUUUCCGUGGAAUUCUUGCAACACUGUACUACAAGCACUUCCUUCUACUAAGUGAAGCCAUUUUCAUUUUUUUGAUGGAAUCCAUAUCAGUUGAACAGAUUGAUCAUGCAGAGAAACUACUGUAGAACUUUUGUUCCCAAAUGGCUAAUCUAUAUGGUGAGCGGUACGAAACUGCAAAUGUACACCUUCUUGUGCACCUAGCAGACAGUGUGAAGGCCCUUGGUCCAUUAUGGACUCAUUCGUGUUUCCAUUUUGAGGACAAGAAUGGCUAUUUGUUAAGGCUCAUACAUGGCACUCAAAAUAUACCUAUGCAGAUGGUCCAUGCAGUCAAACUUGUGCAGUCUAUUCCUGUUAUUUCACAAACCAUAAAACCAGGGAAUGCCAUAGCUGAAUUUUACACACGGAUGACUAAAGAUGAUAGUUUCUGUCAGGAAAACAAUGAUUUGUCUAGGACCAAACUAUAUGGAGCAUCUAGUGAACUUCAACUGGACACAGUUCACCUCUCUACAUUGGAAAGACAUACUGGUCAUUGCAUCAGUUCUAAAACAGUAAGGAUCUUUCACAGGGCACAAGUUAAGAGAAAUUAUCUCACAU